rnacentral:rRNA from 1 species
CAAAGGUGAGCCAGUACAGGAUGGACCCGCGUCUGAUUAGCUAGUUGGUAAGGUAACGGCUUACCAAGGCGACGAUCAGUAGCCGACCUGAGAGGGUGAUCGGCCACAUUGGAACUGAGACACGGUCCAAACUCCUACGGGAGGCAGCAGUGGGGAAUAUUGCACAGUGGGCGAAAGCCUGAUGCAGCAACGCCGCGUGAGUGAUGAAGGCCUUCGGGUCGUAAAACUCUGUCCUCAAGGAAGAUAAUGACGGUACUUGAGGAGGAAGCCCCGGCUAACUACGUGCCAGCAGCCGCGGUAAUACGUAGGGGGCUAGCGUUAUCCGGAUUUACUGGGCGUAAAGGGUGCGUAGGCGGUCUUUCAAGUCAGGAGUGAAAGGCUACGGCUCAACCGUAGUAAGCUCUUGAAACUGGGAGACUUGAGUGCAGGAGAGGAGAGUGGAAUUCCUAGUGUAGCGGUGAAAUGCGUAGAUAUUAGGAGGAACACCAGUUGCGAAGGCGGCUCUCUGGACUGUAACUGACGCUGAGGCACGAAAGCGUGGGGAGCAAACAGGAUUAGAUACCCUGGUAGUCCACGCUGUAAACGAUGAGUACUAGGUGUCGGGGGUUACCCCCUUCG